rnacentral:rRNA from 1 species
GACGAACGCUGGCGGCGUGCUUAACACAUGCAAGUCGAACGGUGAAAGAAGAGCUUGCUCUUCUGAAUCAGUGGCGAACGGGUGUGUCACACGUGAGUACCCUGCUCCACUCUCUGGUAUGAGCUCUGGAAGCGGCGUCUAAUACCAUACACCAUACAGCGCUACGUUGCUACGGUGUGAAAAUUUUUUCGGUCUGGGAUGGACUCGCGGCCUAUCAGCUUGUUGGUGAGUUAACGGCUCACCAAGGCAACGACGGGUAGCCGGCCUGAGAGGGCGACCGGCCACACUGGGACUGAGACACGGCCCAGACUCCUACGGGAGGCAGCAGUGGGGAAUAUUGCACAAUGGGCGCAAGCCUGAUGCAGCGACGCCGCGUGAGGGAUGACGGCCUUCGGGUUGUAAACCUCUUUCAGCAGGGAAGAAGCGAAAGUGACGGUACCUGCAGAAGAAGCACCGGCUAACUACGUG